UUUGUGAUUCUCACGAUUCUAUUUGUGAUUCUCACGAUUCUAUUUGUGAUUCUCACGAUUCUAUUUGUGAUUCUCACUAUUCUAUUUGUAUUGUGAUUCGAUACUGUGAUUUCAUUGCGAUUCGAUGUUCCAAACAUUGGUCACCACAUGUCUGCUGCAGAGGGACAAGAGAGCGAGCCAGGAGAAAAUGAGUUUUUAUCAGUCUAUAAAUUAAGUGCUGAAAACAAAUUGACUCCCAAUUUAAAAAGAAGAUGGAGAACAACACUAUGAAGGAAAUAUACUGGACUUUUUUGUGCUGGUACAGCCAGCCAACUAGCGCAUAAAAUAAUAUUAGGAUAUUGUCAAACUGAUAUUGUCUCAACAUGUCGUCAAAUAAUAUCCCAAUAUGUAAAUUGUUUUAAACUAAGACAACUGGUGUCGGACCCUGUCAGUGUCUCUAUGGUGGUGUUGGACCCUGUCAGUGUCUCUAUGGUGUUGUUGGAGACUGUCAGUGUCUCUCUGGUGGUGUUGGAGACUGUCAGUGUCUCUCUGGUGGUGUUGGAGACUGUCAGUGUGUCUAUGGUGGUGUUGGAGACUGUCAGUGUCUCUAUGGUGGUGUCGGAGACUGUCAGUGUCUCUAUGGUGGUGUCGGAGACUGUCAGUGUCUCUCUGGUGGUGUUGGAGACUGUCAGUGUCUCUAUGGUGGUGUCGGAGACUGUCUGUGUCUCUAUGGUGGUGCCAUGUCCCCCCCCCCCCCCCCUCCCCCCCCACCACCACAUGGUGUGUCUGUCUCCCUUCCAGACUGUCUGUGUCUCUAUGGUGGUGUCGGAGACUGUCAGUGUCUCUAUGGUGGUACCAUGUCCCCCCCCCACCACCACAUGGUGUGCCUGUCCCCCUUCCAGACUGUCUGUGUCUGUAUAG
rnacentral:lncRNA from 1 species